UACGUAGGGACCAAGCGUUGUUCGGAUUUACUGGGCGUAAAGGGCGCGUAGGCGGCAACUCAAGUCAGCUGUGAAAUCUCCGGGCUUAACUCGGAACGGUCAGCUGAUACUGCUUUGCUAGAGUGCGGAAGGGGCAAUCGGAAUUCUCGGUGUAGCGGUGAAAUGCGUAGAUAUCGAGAGGAACACCUGAGGUGAAGACGGGUUGCUGGGCCGACACUGACGCUGAGGCGCGAAAGCCAGGGUAGCAAACGGG
rnacentral:rRNA from 1 species